rnacentral:lncRNA from 1 species
CGGCGAUCUGAUUUCCUGCAGCGUCGACUGUUUCCCAAGGGCGACGUACUGUAGCGGCGGCGAUGACACUGUAGCAGCGACGGUACUAUAGCGGCGACGAGAUCUCCAUAGGGCGAUCUGACUAUAGCAACGAUCUGAUCUCCCUUACUGUAGUGGUGAUCAGAUCUCCUGUAGCGUCGGCUUCUCCCCAAGGGCGACGAUACUACGAC